rnacentral:misc_RNA from 1 species
GAUGAAGAACGUAGCAAAAUGCGAUAAGUAAUGUGAAUUGCAGAAUUCAGUGAAUCAUCGAAUCUUUGAACGCACAUUGCGCCCGCCAGCAUUCUGGCGGGCAUGCCUGUUCGAGCGUCAUUUCAACCCUCGAGCCCCCCCGGGGGCCUCGGUGUUGGGGGACGGCACACCAGCCGCCCCCGAAAUGCAGUGGCGACCUCGCCGCAGCCUCCCCUGCGUAGUAGCACACACCUCGCACCGGAGCGCGGAGACGGUCACGCCGUAAAACGCCCAACUUCUUAGAGUUGACCUCGGAUCAGGUAGGAAUACCCGCUGAACUUAAGCAUAUCAAUAAGCGGAGGA